rnacentral:tRNA from 17 species
GCCUCUGUAGCUCAGUCGGUAGAGCAGGGGACUGAAAAUCCCCGUGUCGAUGGUUCGAUUCCGUCCGGAGGCACCA